rnacentral:rRNA from 1 species
GUCUACAGCCAUACCACCCUGAAUGAACCUGAUCUCAUCUGAUCUGGGAAGCUAAGCAGGGUAGGGCCUGGUUGGUACUUGGAUGGGAGAAAAGAUGUUCUUAAGAAA